rnacentral:rRNA from 1 species
UAAUACAGAGGGCUCGAGCGUUAAUCGGAAUCACUGGGCUUAAAGCGUGCGUAGGCGGACGCGCAGGCACUUUGUGAAAUCCCCCGGCUCAACCGGGGAAUUGCUUGGUGAACCGCGCGCCUUGAGGCAAGUAGGGGCUGUCGGAACGCUAGGUGGAGUGGUGAAAUGCGUUGAUAUCUAGCGGAACGCCGAAGGAGAAAUCAGGCAGCUGGGCUUGUCCUGACGCUGAGGCACGAAAGCGUGGGGAGCGAACGGGAUUAGAUACCCCGGUAGUCCACGCCGUAAACGAUGUGCACUAGAUCGAGGAGGUUCUGACACCAUUCUCGGUCGAAACGAAAGCGCUAAGUGCACCGCCUGGGGAGUACGGUCGCAAGGCUA